rnacentral:rRNA from 1 species
AUUGAACGCUGGCGGCAUGCCUUACACAUGCAAGUCGAACGGUAACGCGGGGCAACCUGGCGACGAGUGGCGAACGGGUGAGUAAUAUAUCGGAACGUGCCCAGUAGUGGGGGAUAGCCCGGCGAAAGCCGGAUUAAUACCGCAUGAGACCUGAGGGUGAAAGCGGGGGAGUCGCAAGACCUCGCGCUAUUGGAGCGGCCGAUAUCAGAUUAGGUAGUUGGUGGGGUAAAGGCCUACCAAGCCGACGAUCUGUAGCUGGUCUGAGAGGACGACCAGCCACACUGGGACUGAGACACGGUCCAGACUCCUACGGGAGGCAGCAGUGGGGAAUAUUGGACAAUGGGGGCAACCCUGAUCCAGCCAUGCCGCGUGUGUGAAGAAGGCUUUCGGGUUGUAAACUCCUUUUCUGAGGGACGAGAAAGGACGGUACCUCAGGAAUAAGUCUCGGCUAACUACGUGCCAGCAGCCGCGGUAAUGUGUGACC